GCUGGUAUAGCUCAGUUGGAGAGCGUCUGCUUACGGGCAGAAGGAUUUCGGUUCGAGUCCGGUUGCCAGCU
rnacentral:tRNA from 1 species